rnacentral:rRNA from 1 species
AAAUUUGAAAUCUGGCGCAAGCCCGAGUUGUAAUUUGUAGAGGAUGCUUCGGGGCAGCGACCGGUCUAAGUCCCUUGGAACAGGGCGUCAGAGAGGGUGAGAAUCCCGUAUGUGACCGGCCCGCGCCCCCCACGUAGCUCCUUCGACGAGUCGAGUUGUUUGGGAAUGCAGCUCUAAAUGGGAGGUAAAUUUCUUCUAAAGCUAAAUACCGGCCAGAGACCGAUAGCGCACAAGUAGAGUGAUCGAAAGAUGAAAAGUACUUUGGAAAGAGAGUUAAACAGCACGUGAAAUUGUUGAAAGGGAAGCGCCUGCAAUCAGACUUCGCGGCGGUGUUCCGCCGGUCUUCUGACCGGUCCACUCGCCGCCGCGAGGCCAUCAUCGUCUGGGCCCGCCGGAUAAGACCGUGGGAAUGUGGCUCCCCCUCGGGGGAGUGUUAUAGCCCACGGUGAUGCGGCGCGGCUCGGGCGAGGUCCGCGCUCCGGCAAGGAUGAUGGCGUAAUGGUUGUCGGCGGCCCGUCUUGAAACACGGACCAAGGAGUCUAACAUCUAUGCGAGUGUUCGGGUGUCAAACCCCUACGCGUAAUGAAAGUGAACGGAGGUGGGACCCGCAAGGUGCACCAUCGACCGAUCCUGAUGUCCUCGGAUGGAUUUGAGUAAGAGCAUAGCUGUUGGGACCCGAAAGAUGGUGAACUAUGCCUGAAUAGGGUGAAGCCAGAGGAAACUCUGG